AGCACUCUCUGCAGAAAGCGCCAGGUGAUACCACUUCCACUAAUCAACCACUCUAUAAGCCUCUGGACCUUCAGUCACUCAUUGCCAGAUCAUAUUUUCAGCCAUAGCGUUGAUUCAUCUUGUCUCCUGCCUGCUUACCUGCUUACCUGCCUACCUGCCAAUCUAUUAGUCCUACCUGUUGGUGUUUUGAGCUCUCGCUGUUUGCCUGCUUGUCGGUGCUCCGGUGCUCCCCGGUCCCAGCCGUGAGCAUAUCACCGUGCAACGAGAUCACCAGCGAAACGCAGACCGCGUAGUACACACGGUGCUGCCAUUGCAUGGAGGACGCCGAAGAAGGGGGCUUCGCUUACCGGCCACCGCCACCUCACCUCACGGAGCCAGGGAUUCUCCAGCGCGUCACUCCUCCCCCCUGCUAUUUAUUCACCGUGUCACAAAUGAAUAUUGACUUUGAAUUGACUUCCCACAGUCUGAGUCGUGCGUUUGGGCUUGAUCUCUGUUGUUGCCGUAACACCGUUAUUUAAAUAUGCUGUCAAUGUCAUGACAGCUACAGAGCUUGUGUUUCAACGGAUCCAUCUCCGUGACAAGAUGAAGACUCCUUCCACUGAUGAAGACUGUGUGAUAUAUCUGAAAUCUGGAAACAGGCCUGCCUGUGGGUGUACCUUGAGUCUCAAUUAAUCUGUCACUAUAUCUAAGGUGAAGAAUGAACAUUGAUAUGUAAGAAUUUUUAAAAGAUUCUGCCUUUAUUUGAUUAAAAAAAAUCUCAUUUCUACCCCGUUUGUGUGAAUAUUUAACAGUAAUAACAAUAUGAAA